GCCUACGGGGGGCAGCAGUGGGGAAUAUUGCGCAAUGGGGGAAACCCUGACGCAGCAACGCCGCGUGCGGGAUGAAGGCCUUCGGGUUGUAAACCGCUUUCAGCAGGGAAGAUCCAAGACGGUACCUGCAGAAGAAGCCCCGGCUAACUACGUGCCAGCAGCCGCGGUAAUACGUAGGGGGCAAGCGUUAUCCGGAUUCAUUGGGCGUAAAGCGCGCGCAGGCGGGUUGCUAAGCGGGACCUCUAAUCUCAGGGCUCAACCUUGAGCCGGGUCCCGAACUGGCAGCCUCGGGUUCGGUAGGGGAG
rnacentral:rRNA from 1 species